rnacentral:rRNA from 1 species
CUAAUUGUGCUAAGGUAGCAAAAUCAAUUGCCACUUAAUUGGUGGCUAGUAUGAACGGGUUCACAAAAAGAUCCCUGUCUCUAUCCAGAACAUAAAAUCUAACCUUCAAGUGAAAAGGCUUGAAUCAUAAUAAAAGACAAAAAGACCCUGUCGCGCUUAACUCCACCAAUAUUGCUCAAAUAUUAUCAAGUUUAGUUGGGACGACUUCUGAUUACAUCAACACCAGAUUUCCUUCUCGAUUAAAUAAUCUAUUAAUGACCCUUUUAAGAUCAAAUAAUUAAGCAACCGCAGGGAUAACAGACUAAUUUUCUUCUAGAGCCCAUAUCGACUAAGAA